AUUGAACGCUGGCGGCAGGCCUAACACAUGCAAGUCGAGCGGAUGAAGGGAGCUUGCUCCUGGAUUCAGCGGCGGACGGGUGAGUAAUGCCUAGGAAUCUGCCUGGUAGUGGGGGAUAACGUCCGGAAACGGGCGCUAAUACCGCAUACGUCCUGAGGGAGAAAGUGGGGGAUCUUCGGACCUCACGCUAUCAGAUGAGCCUAGGUCGGAUUAGCUAGUUGGUGGGGUAAAGGCCUACCAAGGCGACGAUCCGUAACUGGUCUGAGAGGAUGAUCAGUCACACUGGAACUGAGACACGGUCCAGACUCCUACGGGAGGCAGCAGUGGGGAAUAUUGGACAAUGGGCGAAAGCCUGAUCCAGCCAUGCCGCGUGUGUGAAGAAGGUCUUCGGAUUGUAAAGCACUUUAAGUUGGGAGGAAGGGCAGUAAGUUAAUACCUUGCUGUUUUGACGUGACCAACAGAAUAAGCACCGGCUAACUUCGU
rnacentral:rRNA from 1 species